CAUAAUUUAGUUUAAAAGAAAUCCUUACAAGUAUAUURAUAUGUUUUCUUAUUAUUUUCAUUUUCGUCCGUACUAACACCUUYCAGGUCUGUUGGUUUAUUAAAGAUCAGCAAAAAAAAGAUCCAAAUGACCUAAGGGUAGCAUGCCAAACAUGGAAGGCCAACAGCAGUGAAACUUAACAACAAAGAAAUGAGAAAAACUGAUCUAUAAGGCAGACGGCUUAGGAUGACUCAUUUAUACUGGAUUCUUCCUAUUGAACAGCAUAUCUUCGUAUUUGAUAUUCCAUUUUCGUGGUUUUAAGAGUUAUUUUAGUGUAUUCAGCUGWACUUGUAUGUUGACAAUGUGACUUAGAUAGAGCCAACGUGUUGCCAUGGUCCUAUUUACAUAUUUGCGCUUUAAUCUUUUUGUUCUUAAAUGGAGAAAAUUAGGAUAUAUGAACAAAYCAGAACGCCUGAAAAAACAGUUAACAUUUAAACCUUUGUUCUUUUAAGUUAAUCCUCCAUUUGGAGCUAAGUAAACAGAUCAUGUCGAAUAGUAGAAAAGUCUGGGUCAACGUAUCCGGUCAAAUUUAAAUUCCCUUUUCGUACACACAUAUGGAAUAAACAAUAUUGGCAUAUUUAGUAUAUGAUUUAAAGCCAGGAACAGCUACCUAGUGUUUUAAUUGUGAAAAAGAAUAGAGUAAUAAAUCUAGCCAGAAUUGAGAAUA